UCUGCUUGCUGCUGUCCCUGCCUAUUCCCC
rnacentral:piRNA from 1 species